UGGGACAAUUUUCUUGUCAUUAAUUAAUCUUAUUUUUGCAUCUUCUCUGACUUCUUGUCCACUUCUCAGCAUAUGUCCCCUGGUUUCAUUAAGGAGAAGAUUUAGGGCAUGUCUAUUAUUAGUGCCUUGGUCACAUACUGCAGCCACAACACUAAAACCAGUUUCCUGCAAAUGUUCAAUAAUGGUUUUAAUUUGCACAGCCAACUCUGGACCUUUAGUGGCCGCUUCUGAAAAAGUAUAUGCAACAGGUUGCUUAUAUUUUCUUAUUAGACCCCUGAUCAUGAAGACUUGUGCAUGGUCUGCAAAGUCGGGUUUUGUCUCAAGACUAUUAUUGACAAAACCUAUCACUAAGUCUUUUCUUUCAUUAUAUGAAAUAUUGGGUUUUAAAGACAUUUUGUCAAACAUUAAUACGCAGAGUUUGUCUGCUGGCUUAAUUUUUUUUGCCCUUUCUUUUAACUGGCCAAAUAUAUUUGUAUUAAUGACAGGUUUUAUAUUGGCUUGAUUUAAAAAAAUUGUCACUAUUUGCUGAGAAGGCAAAACUAACAUUCUUCGCAGAAAGCGAUAGCCUUUGGGACUUUGUUUCAACAUUGCCAAAGUUAAUAUUUUUUCUUCGAUCAAAAAUCAAAGCCUUUUUGUUUUUUUUUUAUGUUCUCUGAAUUGCAACAUUGUCAAAAUUUUAGCAGCACUACAAAAUAUUUUCAUUGUUUACAGUAGUUAUAAAGUUGCUACUGUUCAUCAAGUUUUUGGCUGCUUUUAACUGCAUUGAUUGCUUCUGCGCUCUAUUUAGGCAUUUUGAGAGUUUUACUCGCAUUUUUAUUAAUUUUUUAUAUAAAUUAUGUUCCUUUUUACUCAAUUUUAUAUUUUUCACUACUUGAACCUGAAAAUAAAAUAAAGUUUUGGUUUAAACGAGAAGUCGUGUUUGAAAUGGGAUCGCUUGCGACAGCAGGAACGUAAAUCUUCUCUUCAAAUUUUACGUAUCCAACAGCAUUAAUAAUGCGACGGAUAGUUUCUGGUACGAUGGUGAUAGAUUGUGCUGCUCGUAACAUAUCACUGGUGACACCAGGUUGUUUUAUAUGGUCCACUAAACGUGGAACAACAGGAAGAUCAGAUUUGAUGGCCUCAAGCUUAGCUUCAAAUAGGCCAAGGAAUACCCUGUACAUUGAAUAGCAGGAUGGGACUCUAAUAUUUUCAUGGUAAGAUAUUGAUAUGAAGGUAAGAUGACAAACUCCCAAUCCUAUACCACGUGUGGUGAUUGACAGAGUGAUGGCUUUCAACGUCUGUUGCUCACUAAGACGGGCUAAGGCAUCGUCCUCAGACGUGCCAACAAACAUCUUCUUUUUGAUUUCCUCCUGAAGAUUGAACAUUGUCACUGCGCCUUUUUCUUGUCGCAUAGUGGCGACUCUGCCUCUUUGAUAUAAGCGGCGUCCGCGUGACUGUUUUGGUCUACCUCUCGUAGAUCCAGAAGCAUUAUUAAUCGGUAAAGUUUCCAUGACGGUGUUGAGUCUUGGGGGUCUGCAAUCAGUUAACCUAGUGGGUAAAGAACCAACCUCUCGAGUAUGAGGGCGUAGGUUCGAUUCCAGGUCAGGCAAGUACCAAUGCAACUUUUCUAAGUUUGUAUGUACUUUCUAAGUAUAUCUUAGACACCAAUGGCUGAUAAAAAGGUGAAGGAAAACAUCUUGAGGAAACCUGGACUAUAUAGUCUGAAAUCACCAACCCGCAUUGAGCAAGCGUGGUGAUUAAUGCUCAAUCCUUCUCCGAGUGAGAGGAGGCCUGUGCCCAGCAGUCGGACGAUAAAAAGGCUGUAAUGCUACGGCCGCACUCAUCGCGAUAACAUUCGGGCGAUAAACUUCGUCUUCGGGCUACGGCGAAUCUUGGUGGCCACAUAUAAUAGACGAAGUUUAUCGCUCAAAUGUUAUCGCGAUGUACAAACGCAAAAACAACAUGGACGCCGCGGUUGCUCUGUAUUUUAUGGCAGCAAAUAAUUAUUUUUUACAUCUAUAUCAAAUAAAAAACAAAUCUAAAGCAAGAAAAAGAAGAAAGUGGGUGAUAAAUAUUCACAAAUCAAGAACUCCAGACUUCAUACGCAAAUUUUUUUCUGAUCUUACUGCUGAGCCAGCCCAAUUUUUCAACUUCCUACGCAUGUCUACAACCGAUUUUGAAAUAUUGCUACAGAAAGUGGCACCAAUAAUCAUAAAAAAAAAUACAAAUUUUAGAGAAGCAAUUCCAGCAAAAGUCCGCUUAGCGGUAACACUUCGGUAUUUAGCAACAGGAGACAGCUUUCGAAGCCUGCAUUUUCUAUUCAAAAUGUCUCACCAAAUUAUUUCCGAAAUAGUGCACGAGACGUGCAACGCUAUCCUAAAGGUUUUAGAGGACCAAGUUAAGAUGCCUACAAAUGAACAAGAGUGGUUGGAAAAAGAAGCCGAUUUCCAUAGUGUGUUUCCACAUUGUGUAGCAGCAAUGGAUGGGAAACAUGUAGUCAUAUUGGCACCGCAUCACAGCGGGAGUGAAUUUUACAACUACAAACAUACAUACAGCAUUGUACUGUUAGCUUUAGUUGAUAAAAAAUACAAAUUCAUAUUUGCAGACGUUGGAUGUCAGGGACGAAUUAGUGAUGGAGGGGUAUUUCAAAAUAGUGUAUUAUUCCGAAAAUUAAACAGAAAUGAUCUUAAAUUACCACCUCCUUCACCACUACCUGGUUGCGACGAUGCAAUACCAUAUGUAUUUGUAGCCGAUAAUGCAUUCCCACUUCAUACAAAUAUAAUGAAACCCUUUCCAGGUGAACACCCAGAAGGAAGUUUAAAAAGAAAUUUUAAUAAGAAAUUAUCACAAGCUAGAAUUGUAGUGGAAAAUGUAUUUGGGGUAAUGUCUGCUAUUUUUAGAGUAUUAAGAAAACCAAUACCACUACAACCGGAUCAUGCCUCUAACAUUGUGAUGACAUGCAUAUUACUACAUAACUUCCUAAAGAAUAGCGAAACAUCCAAUAAUUUUUAUGCUCCACCAGACUUCUUCGAUAGGAUUGACAAUAAUGAGGUAAUCCCCGGCGCUUGGAGGAAAGAACAGCCAGUUGACGGUGCCUUGCGCUCUUUUACAGCUAUAGCCAGAAAAAAUGCUUCUACACCAACAAAUAUACGGGACAAAUUUGCUCAAGUUCUCGCCAACCGUUGAAAAUGUUUUUUUUUUUAUUCCGUGUUAUAAUUAAUUCACUGUUUUAAUGUUAACUUGGUAAUUUGAAAAAUAGCGAGGUGAGGUAUUUAUGUCUUUAAACUUAAUAAUAAAUAAUCUAAGCAUGCAUAAAGUAGUUGUUAUUUCCUACCUGUGUAUGGAUCGUUUGUUUACAAUCAUAGAUAGGCUGCAGAAAGCUGUUAA